rnacentral:piRNA from 1 species
UAAGUUUGUAUUUGACAAACU